rfam:Asian citrus Psyllid, Diaphorina citri - Florida Strain, whole genome shotgun sequence.
AAAACGGCCCUUUUCAGGGCCACAAAAUUAAUUCUCGCCCCCUCCU